UACGGGGGGAGCAAGCGUUGUUCGGAUUUACUGGGCGUAAAGGGCGCGUAGGCGGCCACCGCAAGUCGGUUGUGAAAUCUCUGGGCUUAACCCAGAAAGGUCAACCGAUACUGCGGGGCUAGAGUGCAGAAGGGGCAACUGGAAUUCUCGGUGCAGCGGUGAAAUGCGUAGAUAUCGAGAGGAACACCUGCGGCGAAGGCGGGUUGCUGGGCUGACACUGACGCUGAAGCGCGAAAGCCAGGGGAGCAAACGGG
rnacentral:rRNA from 1 species